rnacentral:rRNA from 1 species
GCAUAUCAAUAAGCGGAGGAAAAGAAACCAACAGGGAUUACCUCAGUAACGGCGAGUGAAGCGGUAACAGCUCAAAUUUGAAAUCUGGCCCUUUCAGGGUCCGAGUUGUAAUUUGUAGAAGAUGCUUCGGGUGUGGCUCCGGUCUAAGUUCCUUGGAACAGGACGUCAUAGAGGGUGAGAAUCCCGUAUGUGACUGGCAGCCUUCGCCCAUGUGAAGCUCUUUCGACGAGUCGAGUUGUUUGGGAAUGCAGCUCUAAAUGGGUGGUAAAUUUCAUCUAAAGCUAAAUAUUGGCCAGAGACCGAUAGCGCACAAGUAGAGUGAUCGAAAGAUGAAAAGCACUUUGGAAAGAGAGUUAAACAGUACGUGAAAUUGUUGAAAGGGAAGCGCUUGCAACCAGACUUGCAUGCCGUCGAUCAUCCUCCGUUCUCGGGGGUGCACUCGGCGGCGUUCAGGCCAGCAUCGGUUUCGGUGGUGGGAUAAAGGCCUUGGGAACGUAGCUCCUCUCGGGGAGUGUUAUAGCCCUCGGUGCAAUGCCGCCUACCGGGACCGAGGACCGCGCUUCGGCUAGGAUGCUGGCGUAAUGGUUGUAAGCGACCCGUCUUGAAACACGGACC